rnacentral:rRNA from 1 species
AUUGAACGCUGGCGGCAUGCCUUACACAUGCAAGUCGAACGGCAGCACGGGGCAACCUGGUGGCGAGUGGCGAACGGGUGAGUAAUGCAUCGGAACGUACCUUUCAGUGGGGGAUAACGUAGCGAAAGUUACACUAAUACCGCAUAUUCUGUGAGCAGGAAAGCAGGGGAUCGCAAGACCUUGCGCUGAUUGAGCGGCCGAUGUCAGAUUAGCUAGUUGGUGAGGUAAAGGCUCACCAAGGCGACGAUCUGUAGCGGGUCUGAGAGGAUGAUCCGCCACACUGGACCGGAGACACGGUCCAGACUCCUACGGGAGGCAGCAGUGGGGAAUUUUGGACAAUGGGGGCAACCCUGAUCCAGCCAUGCCGCGUGAGUGAAGAAGGCCUUCGGGUUGUAAAGCUCUUUCGGCCGGGAAGAAAUCGCACGGGCUAAUACCCUGUGUGGAUGACGGUACCGGCAUAAGAAGCACCGGCUAACUACGUGCCAGCCGCCGCCGUAAUAC